rnacentral:rRNA from 1 species
UCGGAACGUGCCCAAUCGUGGGGGGAUAACUACGCGAAAGCGUAGCUAAUACCGCAUACGAUCUACGGAUGAAAGCGGGGGAUCGCAAGACCUCGCGCGAAUGGAGCGGCCGAUGGCAGAUUAGGUAGUUGGUGGGGUAAAGGCUCACCAAGCCUGCGAUCUGUAGCUGGUCUGAGAGGACGACCAGCCACACUGGGACUGAGACACGGCCCAG